GAGCCAUUAUCCACUACAGAUAUCUCUUUCGCCCUUUGGAACAACGUCGCGUCCUCACCGUUGUCUGUUCCAGACGGUAUGGUCCCUUCCGCACACUGCGACGUCCAUCACCGGCCGCGCAGGCUCAGAUUCCCCAACCGCCCCGCCACCGUACGAUCCCCCGAGAGGACGACGGCAGCGACUCCGACUCCGACUCCAACGCCCAAAAGAGCCUCAACCUGAUGUAGCGCGAGGCUCGGCGGCGACGUCCCCUGGGGGCAUGGAGUUCGCUUCCUUCUCCCAUCCCCAAAUCAAGCGCAUCCUCAGAUACUGCUGGGAAAAAGAGAUGUGUCUUGGAGGCGGCGCGAUUUUGAGCUUUCAUGGGCUUCGUGGAUAUAAUGAUGUCCAAUAAGAUUCAUUAUCGCUUCUCUGGAGCAAGCGGCGUUGGACGCUCGGAUGCUUGCGAAGAGACUGGGACUGGAUGUUCGAGAAGGAAAAUAUUACGUUUCAUUCAUGUUUUUGUGAGUGUGUGUACGUGUGUGUUUGUGAGAAUCUUUUCGCCUUCCUCCGGUUCACCUGCUAUCUGCUUUGCUAUGCUUGGCUAUUGCACGAUGAGUUCUUUCCGGGCAAAAUGGUUCUUCGAAUAAGCAGCUCUUUCCUAACUGCAGCUUUUUCCCCACUUAUAUUGAGUUUGAGUGUGUCAGCUUGUACUUUCAAAUUGCUUUGAUGGUGCUUGCAGCAUAGUUUGUCGAGCAUAUAUCAAUAAAGAUGAGUAACUUUUGAUGUUGUGCUCGGGAGAGGAGUACAAGAAUGCACAAGUCGUGCGAAAUAUUUGAAUUUUUUGCUUGCUGAACACUUUUUUUUCAUUUCCAGAUGGAACAUAAGUGUCUUUGUUUUUUUUUUUUUGGUCUCUUUUUGCUAAAGCAGUUUAAUUUAGUUGUAUUCUACGUAAUAUGUGCGAGAGGUGUCAAUGAUUCGUUGUGCAGUGUAACUUCCUUAAUGAAUCACAUUUGUUAGGGAAGUCGCUGCGAGAAGUUGAACCUGAGUUAAUGGAUGCUUCAAUUGAGGCCACAAAAGAUGGUGAUGAGAGCAGGCUGCGAGCUUUAUCUGUAUUAGAGGCCUGGGUUGGCGAAGAUAAUGACAAAGGAGGAGAAGAUUUCGAACAUGAUCACGGGGAAGAGGGGGUGCCUGGUUUCUAUUUGUUGCUGAAAAAAAACGAAGAGAAAAAUCUGCAUUGCCUACCGCUGCUACUCAAAGUUUCAUUUGCAUCCUCUUAGAGGAAAAGGAGUUCAGCUUGUACGGGCUGCGUGAGGAGUCCACUUCCCUAUCAUUGGAAACAGACUUUGCUGGGUUCACAUGGUAAUGGUGACAUUGUACUUCCAAUAGGAGCUGCGAAAGCUUAUGAGGAGUGUACAGUCUAUUCAAGAACACCCAGUCGUUGCUAAUGAAAACGAGAGAGGUUUGUUUCUUUGUUGAUUGGCUGUGAUUAAUUCCUUGACAAGCCGUACGGUGGACGUCUAAAAGCCGCACGAGAAAAGGAAAAAGAAAAAGGGGCACUCAUAAAUCCUGCUGGGUGGAGUACCUGUCUUUGGCCGCGCAGAAUUCCUUCAAGCCGUGUAGUCAACUCCAGAGAAAAAGACGAACGGCGAUGUAAGAAAGGGGUAGUGGAAAAAAAAAGUAAGAAAGGGGUCGCACGGUGACACUCUUUUUUUCGAUCGCACGGAGGAGUGUUGACCAUGGUGAAUUUUGUGCUGUGAAUUUCCGUCCAAUUGAGUUAUUUUAUUAAUAAACACCAUGUAAUGUAGUCUUAGUAAAUAAAGAUGCCAUCUAAUGGGCAUCAAAUGCCAUUUCCCUUAUGAAGGCUUGUUUUUAAUGUCUUCUCCUUUUGUAUCUUUGUGUAAUGGUGUAUGAGUUGAAUUGAAAAGAUGAAUAAUGAAUUUUGUCAAGCACAUAGCUUAGGAAAAAAAAAAGCCAAAGAAAAAGGAAAAUGAAGCAAGAGCCAUUAUCCACUACAGAUAUCUCUUUCGCCCUUUGGAACAACUUUGCCUCACCGUUGUCUGUUCCUGACGGUGUGGUCCCUUCGGCACACCGCGACGUCCAUCACCGCCCGCGAGGGCUCUGAUUCCGCAACCGCCCGCCACCGUACGAUCCCUCGAGAAGAUGACGGCAGCGACCCCGAAUCCGACGCCCAGAAGAGCCUAAACCAGAGGAAGCGCGAGGCUCGGCCGCGAUGUCCCCUGGGGCAUGGAGUUCGCUUCCUUUCCCAUUCCCAAAUCAAGAGCAUCCUCAGAUACUACUGGGAAAAAAAGAUGUGUCUUGGAGGCGGCGCGAUUUUUAGCUUUCACGGCCUUUGUGGAUAUAAUGAUGUUCAAUAACGUUGCACUGUACAUUCAUUAUCCUUUCUUUUAAAAGGGGAAUUGCAGAGUGGCUUCUCUGGAGUCAAGCGGCGUUGGACGCUCAGAUGCUCGCGAAGAGACCAGGACCGGAUGUCCGAGAACAAAAGCGAAGGCAUUUCAAUUUCAUUGGUACUAUCACGUUUCAUUCAUGUUUUUGUGAGUGCCUACGUGAGAAUAUUUUCCCCUUUCUUGCCGCUUCACCUGGCAUCUUCUUUACUAUGCUUGGCCAUUGCACGAUGAGUUCUUGCCCAAAAGAAUAGUUCUUAAGAUAAGAAGCUCUUUUAUAACUGCCCCUUUCCCCUCCUUUAGAUUGUGUUUGAGUGUGUCAACUUGUAAUUUUGAAAUGCUUGGAUGGUAAUUGCAGUAUAGUUCCUUGAGCAUACGUUGAUGAA